AGUACGAGUAUUGUGUACAAGUCUAUUAUACAAUAUGGACUUAUAGUAGGGUGGAUGUGCAAUAAAAUCACUAUAAAUACAACAGAAUCUAACUGUUAGAAUAUGUAUGAAAAUAAAUAAAUAAAUACUUGGAUCUACAUCAUCAAACUACAAACUUUUUAAUGUACUGCCAGACAUCUGUAUAAGUUAUCUGCUAUUUUAGUGGUCUAAGCACUCAUACUUUAUCUAAACAGGUUAAUAAACGAGAUUUUAUAGCAUAUGACACUACUGUACGAUACACAAAUAAUUUAGUAAGACAUUUGUAGAUUAUCU